GACGAACGUUGGCGGCGUGCUUAACACAUGCAAGUCGAACGGAAAGGCCCUGCUUUUGUGGGGUGCUCGAGUGGCGAACGGGUGAGUAACACGUGAGUAACCUGCCCUUGACUUUGGGAUAACUUCAGGAAACUGGGGCUAAUACCGGAUAGGAGCUCCUGCUGCAUGGUGGGGGUUGGAAAGUUUCGGCGGUUGGGAUGGACUCGCGGCUUAUCAGCUUGUUGGUGGGGUAGUGGCUUACCAAGGCUUUGACGGGUAGCCGGCCUGAGAGGGUGACCGGCCACAUUGGGACUGAGAUACGGCCCAGACUCCUACGGGAGGCAGCAGUGGGGAAUAUUGCACAAUGGGCGGAAGCCUGAUGCAGCAACGCCGCGUGCGGGAUGACGGCCUUCGGGUUGUAAACCGCUUUCGCCUGUGACGAAGCGUGAGUGACGGUAAUGGGUAAAGAAGCACCGGCUAACUACGUG
rnacentral:rRNA from 1 species